ensembl:lncRNA
AGAAAGAUCAGCAGUGUCAGUAAAUGUGGUCCUAGAAUAGAAGGAAAAUGGUUAAGUAGAAUUACCAGAUGAUUUGAGGAAGUGAAUCAUAUCCUAAGCUACAAGGAAAGACAGAAAAUCCGUCCAAAUGGUCUUUGCCAGUCUCACCAGAGGGAAACUUCCUUCUAUUUCUUGGUGGUAUUUAGUAGUUCCUAGGAUCAGAAGCUUUAAUGGGUAUGCAGUUUUGCAUCCGUACAAGUCAUUUAACUUGAAUGCAGGAUCAGAUGAGAGGAUUUGUGUGCUUGUGAACAGACAUCAGGCAGGAAUCUACACUUGGAUUCUCAUCAGAAUCAUGGUAGAAGGCAAACAUCCUCAGAGGCCCUUUGUACACACUAGAGCUAGGUCCUCUGGAAGACCAUUCAGGACAUUAGAAUAAUCACUGAUAAAUCAUCCUCUGAAGGAGUGCCUCACUUUCCACUGCCUGUAUAGGAAAUCCAGAGACCAGAUUGACUGCAGCUGAAAUUAGAUGCUGCGUAAGGUGGUGUGAAUGCCCCCACAGUUUCAGCUACUACUCACCCAUUAAAAGGCUUCCAGUUUUCCCACUAAUGCAGCCACACUCGGCUGGCCUAAGCAAAAAAGCAGCCUGUGGAAAAUUGUGUAUUAAGCA